rnacentral:rRNA from 1 species
AAAUUUGUAAUCUGGCGGUCUCGCGGCCGUCCGAGUUGUAAUCUGGAGAAGCGUUUUCGGCGCCGGCCCGCGUACAAGUCCCCUGGAACGGGGCGUCGCAGAGGGUGAGAAUCCCGUCUCUGACGCGGUACGCCGGCGCCGUGCGAUGCGCUCUCGAAGAGUCGAGUUGUUUGGGAAUGCAGCUCAAAACGGGUGGUAAAUUCCAUCUAAAGCUAAAUACUGGCGAAAGACCGAUAGCGAACAAGUACCGUGAGGGAAAGAUGAAAAGCACUUUGGAAAGAGAGUCAAACAGUACGUGAAAUUGUUGAAAGGGAAACGCUUGAAGUCAGUCGCGUCUCUCGGGACUCAGUCGGACCCUAGGGUCCGACGCACUUCCCGGGUCGGACGGGCCAGCGUCGAUUUCCGCCGCCGUAAAAAGGCUGUGAGGAACGUGGCACCUUCGGGUGUGUUAUAGCCUCGCGUCGUAUGCGGCGGUAGGGAUCGAGGGACGCAGCGCGCGCCCUCCACGGAGGGCACGGGGUUCGCCCACGUAACGCGCUUGGGACGCUGGCGUAAUGGCUUUAAGCGACCCGUCUUGAAAC